AUGUAAAUACUAAAAAAAAAAAAAAAAAUUCAAAAGGUAUCAGUGGAAAAGUGUCUCUCUCAUCCCUAUGACUCUAUGCCUUUUACCACUUAAUUUAUAUUCACACGGAAACAAUAUUGGUAUUUAAGGAACAGUUAAUUAACAAUAUGUUAAAGGGGUGCUUUAUUAAAAUAGAAGAAUCACUAACUCAUAACAAUAUGCAGGUCAUUCUUUUCCAGAGGGGAACCCUCCCCCAAAGCCCUUGAAAUCUGAAUUCUUUACCCCUAUAAAUCAAGGGUAUCAGUAGUCUGACAGCAUCUUAGUAUCUCACUUCUAACAACCUGCCAAUCCUUGUUCUAAUAUCUUGUGGCAAAUACAAACCAUUUCUCAUCAUAUGUUAAUCUGUUUUUCUUUCUUUCUUUUUCUGAAACAGAGUCUCACUCUGUUUCCCAGGCUGGAGUGCAGUAGCAUGAUCUCAGCUCACCACAACCUCCGCCUCUGGGGUUCAAGUGAUUCUCCUGCCUCAGCCUCCUUAGUAGUUGGGAUUACAGACAUGCACCACCACGCCCAGCUAACUUUUUUUUUUUGUAUUUUUAGUAGAGACAAAGUCUCAUCAUGUUAGCCAGCCUGGUCUUGAACUCCCAACCUUAGGUGAUCUACCUGCCUCGGCCUCCCAAAGUACCGAGAUUACAAACGUGAGCCACUGCACUUGACCCAUAUGUUAAUCUGGAUAUACUACAAGUUCGAUGAAAAUAUCCUUAAAGAGUAACUACAAAAAUCAAAGCUAUUAUUCUUGUUCUACAGGAGUUUACAGUAUACAAAGAAGAGAAGGUAUAUAAACAGGGCAUUUUUAUUAAUAAUACAAGAUACCAUAUAUCUCAAAACAGAGCAGUAAGUGGGAAAGACAAUAAGUAUUGCUAUGGUGAAAAAAAGCAAAAGCAAAAGUGGACUCAAAGGAGAUGGGGGAACUUGACUAUUCCUAAAAAACAGGAUUUGAAAAAAAAAAGUGAAGGACAGCAUUCUUAGCAGGGCAAAGAAUAGGAGAAUGACGUAGCUGUGACCAUAUGAACAACAUUCUCAGUGAUCAGAGUAGAGACAACAUAUUUGAGUGGGAAAAUAAGAGAGAAAUACAAGAUUUGAAGUACAGAGUUUAUUCAAACAGCAUUUAUUAAGUACCUACUAUAUGCCAUGCAUAGUACAGAAAUGAGCUGUUUGAAAAGAUAUUCCAGACUAAGAAAUUUUGUCUUUUUACUCUGUAGCAGGAAAAUAGAGUUCUAAAGAACUCAUGGCAAUUUUAUACAACAUUAUUUUAACCAAUCUUGGCAACAAAUAAUUUUAAAUAAUAGAAAAACAGAGACUCAGGAAGGUAUACGCAUAUGCUUAAAAUCAUAUAGCCAAAACCAAAGCAAAAAUCCCACAUCUUCCUAUUCCUAGCUCCAUGCUCCUUGUCUUGCUCUACUGGCUAUAUCCUUUAGUCCUCUUCAUUUUCUCAAGCAAAUAAUAAAUUAUUAAAAGAAAAAAAAGAAAUAAAAGUAAAGUUUUAGUCAAAUGCAUAUGGCUAGGUUGUACGGGUUGAAUUAAAAGGUAAAGAACAUGGAUAAAAUGAAAUCUAUUAGCAUAGGUUGGCACAAAAGUAACUGUGGCUUUUGCCAAUUACUUUUGCACUAACCUAAAGUUACUGUAAUAAUCUAGGAAUUGGUGGUAGCAGUAGGAACAGAAGCCAUUGGAUAUGAGACUUUGUAUAAAAAGAUUCAAUUUUGAAAAUAUCAAGAGAUUCAAAGAUAACUAGGUGAUUGGUAAGUAGAGCCACUGGCAAGAUGUAAAUAUCAAGAAAUGAGUCUAUUUUGUUGGGGAAAUCUACUGUGGUCAAAUUAUUGCCCAAAGUCAAAGAUACUAGAUCAAACAUUUCACAAGUUUCUACCCCUGAAACAGAAUAAUCCAGAGUUUACUACCAUCCUUGGAUCUUUUAUUUACAAAUACUUAUCAUUUUCUGUCUAGACUUAAAGCCUAGACACCACCGUCUAUCCAAUCCCCAGAGGUAUUCAUAUCCAUAAAGCCCAGUAAGAGUUUAUGCCCACUUCCUGGAAACCUCUCAGAGAGAGCUGAUAUACCUAAAUCUAAAGAAAUACACACACACACAUGUGUACAAGCUGCCAGUGUACAAGCACGUGUGUGUGUGUGUGUGUGUAAUUAAGUCUAUCAUUGAGCCAAGGCUUUCUUUCAGGGAAUCAGGGUUAUUUGUCAGUCAUAAGUAAAUGACUAAUCUCUAUAUCAUACAUUAAGGCUUGCAACUGAGAAAGUAUUUUUAAACCUACAUAAAGAUGAAUCUAUCUUCCCUCUUACAUGAAAAUUAUUUCUCAAGGAAAGGUUAUAUUCAUAACUUCUUUCAAGGUCCUGAAGAAUUCCAUUCACUUAUGAUAUUAAUUUUUUAAUGAAAAUACUGGACUAGUAGCUCUUUAAUAAUUAUAAAUGAAGACAUCCAACAGAAUAACUAGUCUUCAAAAGAGGAUAACAAAGAGGAUGAGGAUCAAAGAAGAGCUAAACCCAAGUAAAAGCAUAUGAAACCUGGAAUGUAAAGAACAGAGGUCAAUGCUGCUCUUUGCAAUGGCCAGUAGAGGCUGCCAGUGUACAAGCACACACAGGGCUUCCCCUCUCCGCCUGCCACAGACACAGAGUUGUCAACAAAAUAAGAAACAUUUCCAUGGUAUAAUAUGAAGCCCAGCACUCUAGGCUCAUCAUAGAGCAUCAUGAAGCAGCAAACACCAAGGGUCCUUUCAACCGUGGCUUCUCAGUAUGUCAUGGGAACAAAAGAAUGCUAGAAUAUUUUUCGAGUACUUUUGAAACAUGAUCGCAUUUAGCCACUGUCUGACCAAAAGAAACCACCAAUCCUAUGUCAUUACCUUUCCAGAAAUGAUACCUCAAGUUUUAUAGACAUGUAAAAAUGGGUACCUUCCAUGAAAAAUAACUCAAUUUGGGGCCUUCAAAAUCCUUAUUUGAAUAGAUGUAUUACUCGGCUUCUUCAAAUACAGUGAAUUGUUAUAGCUAAAAGAAAUUUUCAGUUACUGAGUACAAAGACAUAAUUUUUGAUCUAAAAUUUAUAAGUAUCAUUCUUAAAUUACAAAUACUAACAUACUUAAAAGGAAUUUAUUGAUAUUCCGCAGUCAGGUGAGAUUCUGUCCAUCUGCGCCCCUCACCCAGAGCCAAAAACAUAAAGACACUCAAGUACACCAAGUGGCAAUCACUUUUAAAAAUUCAUUUCAUGAAUCUGCUCUACAAUUUUAAGAAUUAUGUAUCUGGCCCUUUUUGAGCUCCACAACACUGCUGUUUCUUGUAGAGAGAAACUUUGCCGUCAAUCACUGCUCCCUUUUGCCACGCAAAUAUGUGCUGCAGCUUUCACUUGUCACUCCUAUUAUAUGUAAUGUAGGCAGCUUAGCACUAAAUCAAUUUAAGGAACUGCAGGAGUUAAAUACAUACAUUAUUAUUAUGAUGACUGAAAAGGCAAUGAAUGUCUUGCAGCUCCAUUUGCUUUCUUUGUUAAGAAAGAAAAAGCUAAUUAUCUGCAGCUGUCAACCAUGAAGACCUAGACCUAUUUAAGUCAACAUCAGCCUUGGACAACUGAAAAUAUUUCUCAGAUUUUUACCUGAUUGUUUUCUUUUUGAAAAGAAAGAAAGAAAGAAAAACCACAUACUUUCAUUACAAAAUAUUAAACAUUCUAAAGGGUAAUGUAAAAACAAGUUGAAAAAUGUAAAACUACAUACUUGUAUCCCUUUUCAUAACCAACUCAUUUAAUAUUUUUUAAAACUGCCUGUCAGUUUUUCGUAAUACCCACUCUCUAAUUAGUGUAGUCAAAAUUUAGAAAAAUGCAAAGCAUCUCCACAUAAAUUCAUAAAAA